rnacentral:rRNA from 1 species
UAGAGUUUGAUCCUGGCUCAGGACGAACGCUGGCGGCGUGCCUAACACAUGCAAGUCAAGGGGCUGUUUGUAGCAAUACUUACAGUCACUGGCGUACGGGUGAGUAACGCGUAGAUUACCUGCCCUCAACUCAGGCAUAACAUUUCUAACGAUUUGCUAACACCUGAUGAGGAGGAAGCUCCAAACUUUGGUUGAGGAUGGGUCUGCGUCUGAUUAGCUAGUUGGUGAGGUAAUGGCUCACCAAGGCGAUGAUCAGUAGCCGGCCUGAGAGGGUGAUCGGCCACACUGGGACUGAGACACGGCCCAGACUCCUACGGGAGGCAGCAGUGGGGAAUAUUGGACAAUGGGCGCAAGCCUGAUCCAGCAACGCCGCGUGGAGGAUGAAGAUCUUCGGAUCGUAAACUCCUGUCAGACGGGACGAAGGUGCGCGAGUAAAUAGCUCGUGUGCUUGACGGUACCGUCAGAGGAAGCCCCGGCUAACUACGUGCCAGCAGCCCCGGUCA